rnacentral:lncRNA from 1 species
AGAGGGUGAACUAAUCCAAAUUGCUUUAGAAAGGUGUCUCACUCCAUUCGACCAUUCCUCCUUCAUGGCCUCCAUGACGAAUGCUUCAUUGAGAGGAUUGGGAGAAUAAGGAGGUACUGUGUGCCUGAGGGAAGGUUUUGUUGAGCGAUUUCUAGGUGGAGAGAUAUGGAUAGAAGAAGGUAGCUUCCCUAAUUGGACACUGAAGAAAUUUGAGGUGUUUCUAUGGCUUCUAGAUGGAUCAUCCUCGAAUCGGGAAGAGAACUCCGAAGGUUGAAUUUCUUCUUGCUUCAGUGUUCGUGGUUCGGGAGAGGGUUCUAUGGCUGAAUCUGAGGAUGUGGAAGGUGAGGAUCAUAUUCUACUGCUAGAAGAUCAUCAUGGCUCGACUUACGCUCUUUUGGGAGGGGUUUGGGCUUGACUGCGAAGGGGGUGUAGAUACUAUCUAGGAUUUUCCUACCUCCAGCCGGAGCCUUAUGGAGAAAUGACCCUCCAGCAAUGCCAUCGAGAUAAUAGGCGGAAUCCUUAUCGAGACCCUUAUAAAAGUUUCAAAAAAGAUUUAGGUAUUGAUAGGACAGGGCAAGAUUCCACUAAAAGUGAAAAUCUAAACCAAGCUACACCUAUGGACUCCCUCUCAUUCUACUGAAAACAGCGGAUAUCCCUUCGUAGAGCAACGAUACGGGACAUGGGAAAGAACGCAAGACAAAACUUU